GCUACCAGAAUGUCCAAGAAGCAGGAAGUUAAGGCGUACGGCCCGAACGUGAAGAAGGGCGACCUCGUUUACGGCGUCGUGCACAUCUACGCCUCCUUCAAUGACACGUUUGUGCACGUGACGGACACGUCCGGCCGCGAAACAUACGUGAAGGUCACCGGAGGUAUGAAGGUGAAGGCCGAUCGAGAUGAGUCUUCCCCCUACGCUGCGAUGAUGGCCGCCCAGGACGUCGUGGCGCGUUGCAAGGAGUGCGGAAUCAACGCCCUGCACGUCAAGAUGCGCGCCGUCGGUGGUGUGCGCACCAAGUCCCCUGGCCCUGGCGCCCAGGCCGCCCUCCGCGCGCUCGCCCGCGCUGGGAUGAAGAUUGGCCGCAUCGAGGAUGUCACCCCGAUCCCGACCGACUCCACCCGCCGCAAGGGUUCCCGCCGUGGUCGCCGCCUGUAAGGUCCUUGUGACCGCGCGUUUGGCGGACUGCUCAGCAGAGCGGGCUAACGCUGACGAAGAUAUGCUGGUUUCCCUGUGUUUGUGAUUUGCCAUCCUUUCGUGUCAAAGAGAAACAACAACAACAGCAACCCGUUUAGGCCAAGAAGCGGGCGCUCGGACUCUUUCCCUGCCUGCCCCAUCCCCAUGAAGCACGCCGGCUGUCGCACUGGGCACCUCAUGACCCUGUUGAUAGCGCUGGAGGCCUUCAUUGCGUGCUGGUUGUGGGGGGGGGUGGAAGGGGGAGAGGCGUGUUGUAUUCAUGUGAGGUGGUGGUGGCAUUGCGCAGCGGUGGGAAAAGCAGGGUCUUUUCCGUACUCCGUGACAGAGCUGCCGUGCUCAUCUUUUCCCGGUUCACUGCUUGCACUGUUGGCUGCCUCGCCUUCUCCCCUCCCCCUGCCCCCACGAAACGCGGUUACCGCGUCUCCUCCGUGGGAGAAGUGGAGUGGCACAGUUAAGGCGACUACAAGGAGCUCCCCCUACCCUGGAGGGAGACUUGCGGGCGCGGGACGCCUUGUCUACGUGAGCGUCUCUUCCCAAGUAGACGACUCCCUCGACUUUGUCCCCUCCGUCGCAUUCCGCCCCUCUCCGCCCUCCUUUCGUGUACGUCUCUGCAUUGUACACUUCCUUUCGCCUGCUUUCCCACGCUCGCGCGCAACAACGUGGACGCACCACAUCGCUCGCUGGAGAAG
rnacentral:misc_RNA from 1 species